rnacentral:lncRNA from 1 species
GUGGAAUUCAGUCUUGCCCCCAUUAAAAGGAAAUGCAACCGGGGAUUUAGCUCAGUGGUUCUGCCGCCUGCCUCGCCUGCCUCGCAAGCUCAAGGUUCCGAGUUCCAUCUCUCUGGUACCAAAAAAAAAAAGAAAGAAAAGAAAAAGGAAAUGCAGCUACUCUCUACGAAGUUCCUGAAUCUCCAGGAAUUUAUAAUGCAGAUUAACCAGUUCUUCUAAGGUCCCAGUUUCCUGUAAACCCUACAUACUGAGUAACUGGGUUAAAAGCCUGAGUCCCAAUUGGUCAUUUUAAAUCCACAGGGCCAUCUGUGGUAGGUGACCACUGAACAACUGAGCAAUCUCUGUGCUCUGUUUACCUAUAACUAGCUCUGGAUGAGGAUGCGGGUGUCCAGCCACCCAUUUGGACCCCUCCUGGAAAUGGAAGGGCUGCUCUUAUUUCCAAUAAAACUCUCCUAACCUCUUCCUCCUUUG